GCAUUGUACAAUGAUCAAAUAUUUAUAGGAUUAAGAUGGGCAUGCGUGUCAUUAGCUAGUUGGCGGGGUAACGGCCCACCAAGGCGACGAUGACUAGGGGAUCUGAGAGGAUGGCCCCCCACACUGGUACUGAGACACGGACCAGACUCCUACGGGAGGCAGCAGUAAGGAAUAUUGGUCAAUGGAGGCAACUCUGAACCAGCCAUGCCGCGUGCAGGAAGACAGCCCUCUGGGUCGUAAACUGCUUUUAUUCGGGAAUAAACCUCAUUACGUGUAAUGAGCUGAAUGUACCGAAGGAAUAAGGAUCGGCUAACUCCGUGCCAGCAGCCGCGGUAAUACGGAGGAUCCAAGCGUUAUCCGGAUUUAUUGGGUUUAAAGGGUGCGUAGGCGGCUUAUUAAGUCAGGGGUGAAAGACGGUGGCUCAACCAUCGCAGUGCCCUUGAUACUGAUGAGCUUGAAUACACUAGAGGUAGGCGGAAUGUGACAAGUAGCGGUGAAAUGCAUAGAUAUGUCACAGAACACCGAUUGCGAAGGCAGCUUACUAUGGUGUGAUUGACGCUGAGGCACGAAAGCGUGGGGAUCAAACAGGAUUAGAUACCCUGGUAGUCCACGCCCUAAACGAUGAAUACUCGCUGUUAGCGAUACACAGUUAGCGGCUAAGCG
rnacentral:rRNA from 1 species